rnacentral:lncRNA from 1 species
GGUCCCACUGUGUCAUCGUUCCUGCCUGGGAUGAAAAUGGAAGCUUGUACCCAGGAGUGACAAAGGAGUUGUGCCAGAAGUCAGGGCUGGGACUCAAGCCUUCUGGCUUGCAACCAGCAUCAUCCUCAUGGUCAAGAUCAAGUCUUCAGCUGUCCACCUGCAGACCCACCCAACCCACACCUGGGUUUGAAGCAAGGGAACAGGUACCUGCUGGCUGUCACCUGCCACUCACUGCUGGCUCUGGAAUUUUGUUAGUUGGUGCUAUGAUUCUAGGCAAAUCUCCCAGAUCAGUACCUGGAGGACAGCAAUGAGUUUUAGAUCACUGGCACUACAAAGAUGAAGGUCAGAGUCAAAGUCAAGAUUGGUCAUGAAGAUGAAGGUCAAGAAAGGAAGCAGCCCCGCCUCUACAGAGGCAAGGACUAGUAGGCCCCACUUAACCUGGAGUCACAGACUGAAGCCCUGCCUCACACUGAGACCUCUCCACACCCUCCCCAGCUCCAGCUGGAGGCAGUUUGGACCCAAAGCCAAGGAAGAGGUGAAGAUCAUGGAGCACCAAACACAGACGCUGCAGCUGAUGCCUCACCUGGCUACAACAUUGCCAUGGCUUCACGGGCAGGGUUACAUGAUGGAUAAAAGAAUCUCGGCUCAAUGUGUGACCCAGAUGCAUUUGCAACUUUUGAAGGUGACAAUGUUGUUUUGGAUCAGACGGUGACAGGACUAUGGAUCACACAGCUCUACUUCCCUAAAAGAAUGGCUGCCCUCCUUUGCUGCGAGCUUCCUGAAGGGCUGAAGACCUGCCUGGUCCAGAAGAACCAGGAGAUAAUAGUGAGAGACCUUCUCUGAGACCUACAGAAGAGAUGUAUCACCCAGCAUGACCCAUGAUGAUAGCAGGAGGUAAGAGGUAUGCACAAUGAAGCCAGGAAGGCAGGUACAACCCGGCUAAUGAAGGCUGGGAAGGCCAUAGUGGGGAGAGGGGUAUCCAAGGCUGUGCGUGGGACCAAUUUCAGGUACCUGGGCUAGGGCAAUG